rnacentral:rRNA from 1 species
AAGUGGGAUGACGUCAAAUCAUCAUGCCCCUUAUGACCUGGGCUACACACGUGCUACAAUGGUUGGUACAACGAGUUGCGAGUCGGUGACGGCGAGCUAAUCUCUUAAAGCCAAUCUCAGUUCGGAUUGUAGGCUGCAACUCGCCUACAUGAAGUCGGAAUCGCUAGUAAUCGCGGAUCAGCACGCCGCGGUCGAAUACGUUCCCGGGCCUU